UUCUACGGUCGCCAUACCAAGGUAAAUUGCGUUUUGGACUUGGGGUGUCAGAGGUGUCCAAUAGAUGACAUGGGCGUCGUCGUUUUCAUGUGAUGGCGGAUUGUUGUGUUGAGUGGUUGUCAAAAGUUUUCCUAUUUUUCCAUGAAAAUUACCGAUAAAUUCACAAGUAAAUUCAAGUUCGUUUCUGUGUAACUUGUUUGUGAUGUGUUUUUUCCGUAUGUGUUCUGGAUCAAAUUCAAAAUUCCUCAAGCUAACCUGUAAGGAAGGAACGGGAAAGGAAACAUUAGCAUACAAGUAGCCUACCAUCACUACCACAAACUCUUUUAUAAAAAAUCUUCGUUCUGCUGAAUGCAUCAUGCAGUUAAUACAGGGAAAGCUGCCUGGAGUAAUCUGGUGUUCAUGCUCAUUUGAUUCAUUUCGUGCCAGCUAGUGAACGCCGAAAGCGAAGGCAUGUCGAAUUCAAUUGAGCUGCUGCGUGCUGUCUCGAAGCAAGCAAUCCAGCGUUCCAGCCGUUGCGUUCAGUCAUUUGGAACAGGAAUCUAAUGGCUGUCAACAGGUGGCUGUGAAUAAGUGGCUGAAAUGAUGUCCACCAGAUGGCGCAAGUGUCUUAGCGGCCAUUUUGUUCCAAGACGCAGCUGAAAUUGGUUGUUGGUUGUGACGUUUCUCACGAUGAAAAUUAAAAGGUGAUUUAGCACGUAGAAACCAAUUUGCCAAAUCAUUCAACUCAGCCUGUACAUUUCCGAAAUGGCGUGCCUCGUGUGUCUCGCUGCCUGUUCUUAGGCGUACGUCUCAUCCCAUGCAACAUCAAAAAGUAA